CUACGGGUGGCUGCAGUGGGGAAUAUUGGGCAAUGGGCGCAAGCCUGACCCAGCAACGCCGCGUGAAGGAAGAAGGCUCUCGGGUUGUAAACUUCUUUUAACAGGGACGAAGAAAGUGACGGUAACGGAUGAAUAAGCCACGGCUAACUACGUGCCAGCAGCCGCGGUAAUACGUAGGUGGCAAGCGUUAUCCGGAUUUACUGGGGGUAAAGGGCGUGAAGGCGGGAAAGCAAGUCAGAUGUGAAAACCAUGGGCUCAACCUGUGGCCUGCAUUUGAAACUGUUUUUCUUGAGUACUGGAGAGGCAGACGGAAUUCCUAGUGUAGCGGUGAAAUGCGUAGAUAUUAGGAGGAACACCAGUGGCGAAGGCGGUCUGCUGGACAGCAACUGACGCUGAGGCGCGAAAGCGUGGGGAGCAAACAGGAUUAGAUACCCCUGUAGUC
rnacentral:rRNA from 1 species